rnacentral:misc_RNA from 1 species
UCUUCCCAGAUUGGUCAAAGCUGGAGAUGAUGGUAAUUGUGGAUCUGCUGCUGUUUGUGACACAAUGUGCUUGCAGGCAAUGUCAAGGAGAAUCCACUAUGGAAAAUUUGUGGCUGAGGCUAAAUUCCUAGAAUCCCCUGCUGAAUAUGAGGCUGCUAUUACAAAGCAAGAUAGCAGAAAACUCAUGGAGAUGCUGACAUAUGAAUCUGUGGAAGCAGCAGUCAAGAAGAGAGUAGAAAUGAAAGCAAAAACAUUCGGCCAAGACAUAAUAAUUAACCCACAGGAAGAAGAAGCUGAGCCCAUAUAUAAAGUGAAGCCAAGUUUGCUUGUCAAUCUGUAUGGCGACUGGAUCAUGCCCC